AUUGAACGAUGGCGGCAGGCCUAACACAUGCAAGUCGAACGCGUGGCGGACGGGUGAGUAAUGUCUGGGAAACUGCCUGAUGGCGGGGGAUAACUCCUUGAAACGGUAGCUAUUACCGCAUACCAUCGGAUGUGCCCAGAUGGGAUUAGCUAGUAGGUGGGGUAAAGGCUCACCUAGGCGACGAUCCCUAGCUGGUCUGAGAGGAUGACCAGCCACACUGGAACGGAGACACGGUCCAGACUCCUACGGGAGGCAGCAGUGGGGAAUAUUGCACAAUGGGGGCAAGCCUGAUGCAGCCAUGCCGCGUGUAUGAAGAAGGCCUUCGGGUUGUAAAGUACUUUCAGCGGGGAGGCGUUACUCGCAGAAGAAGCACCGGCUAACUCCGUGCCAGCCGCCGCGGUAAUAC
rnacentral:rRNA from 1 species